rnacentral:rRNA from 1 species
GAUGAACGCUGGCGGCGUGCCUAAUACAUGCAAGUCGAGCGAACGGACGAGAAGCUUGCUUUUCUGAUGUUAGCGGCGGACGGGUGAGUAACACGUGGAUAACCUACCUAUAAGACUGGGAUAACUUCGGGAAACCGGAGCUAAUACCGGAUAAUAUUUUGAACCGCAUGGUUCAUAAGUGAAAGACGGUCUUGCUGUCACUUAUAGAUGGAUCCGCGCUGCAUUAGCUAGUUGGUAAGGUAACGGCUUACCAAGGCAACGAUGCAUAGCCGACCUGAGAGGGUGAUCAGCCACACUGGAACUGAGACACGGUCCAGACUCCUACGGGAGGCAGCAGUAGGGAAUCUUCCGCAAUGGGCGAAAGCCUGACGGAGCAACGCCGCGUGAGUGAUGAAGGUCUUCGGAUCGUAAAACUCUGUUAUUAGGGAAGAACAUAUGUGUAAGUAACUGUGCACAUCUUGACGGUACCUAAUCAGAAAGCCACGGCUAACUACGUG